UACGAAGGGGGCUAGCGUUGUUCGGAAUUACUGGGCGUAAAGCGCGUGUAGGCGGGUCCUUAAGUCAGGGGUGAAAUGCCAAGGCUCAACCUUGGAACUGCCUUUGAUACUGGGGAUCUUGAGUCCGGGAGAGGCGAGUGGAACUGCGAGUGUAGAGGUGAAAUUCGUAGAUAUUCGCAAGAACACCAGUGGCGAAGGCGGCUCACUGGCCCGGAACUGACGCUGAGACGCGAAAGCGUGGGGAGCAAACAGG
rnacentral:rRNA from 1 species